rnacentral:lncRNA from 1 species
ACCGAAAACCCAGCGUUUCCUUCAACUCUGAGUCAACUAACUCUGAGUUUUCACUAAACCCGCUUUCUAAAACAGGGCCCUGUUCUCACACUGCAAGAGCAGGGUGUCUGCGGAAAGCUCAGUAUCUUGAUUAUUGAUCAGUGCCUUCAAAUCUUUGGUGUGACUUACUAUCAUAUAUGGGCAUACAAAUUUAUAGGGGAAGGCUGACCCAAUGACCUCAUUUCAAGAUGGCUGCUACCUACAUUCCGGUUAGAGUUGUAAGGCAUAAACGAAAUAAACAUGGAAUACGUUGAUAAACACCGAAAGCUGUGACUCCAAACUUCUCCAAACUUCAAACAUCUUAUGAGGACCUGAGCCCUAGGACCAUGCCUCAGGACUACCUGGUAUGAUGACUCCUUGCUGUCCCCAGUCCACCUGGCCAUGCUGCUGCUCCAGUUUCAACUGUUCUGCCUGCGGCUAUGGAACCCUGACCUGUUCACCGGACGUGCUUGUUGCACCCUCGACAACUACUAUGAUUAUUAUUAUUUGACCAUGCUGGUCAUUUAUGAACAUUUUAACAUCUUGACCAUGUUCUGUUAUAAUAUCCACCCUGCACAGCCAGAAGAGGACUGGCCAUCCC